rnacentral:rRNA from 1 species
AACGAACGCUGGCGGCAGGCUUAACACAUGCAAGUCGAACGCAUCCUUCGGGGUGAGUGGCAGACGGGUGAGUAACGCGUGGGAACGUGCCCUUCAGUUCGGGAUAACCCAGGGAAACUUGGGCUAAUACCGGAUACGUGCGAGAGCAGAAAGAUUUAUCGCUGAAGGAUCGGCCCGCGUCUGAUUAGCUAGUUGGUGGGGUAAUGGCCCACCAAGGCGACGAUCAGUAGCUGGUCUGAGAGGAUGAUCAGCGACAUUGGGACUGAGACACGGCCCAAACUCCUACGGGAGGCAGCAGUGGGGAAUAUUGGACAAUGGGCGAAAGCCUGAUCCAGCAAUGCCGCGUGAGUGAUGAAGGCCUUAGGGUUGUAAAGCUCUUUUACCAGGGAUGAUAAUGACAGUACCUGAGAAUAAGCUCCGGCUAACUCCGUGCCAGCCGCCGCAGUAA